rnacentral:lncRNA from 1 species
GCCAACCCAAAACAAUCCAAUUUAAGUAGUCUUCUUCUAUACCCAAGUUUCCUUUCAAUAUCUUCCUUUACCUUCAUAGCUUCCUCUUAUUAGUAGAAUCUUUUGAUCUUAUUUAAUGAUCUUUGGGUAGGAGAACGUCUUUCCAAUUACACCUUUUUUCUACAAUUCUCUACAGGGUUGCCAUUACUAGAUCGACUUUGUUGGGAAAGGCUGGGAUACUUCUUGGAUUAGUUGACAUUGCUGAAUCCAAAGAUGAUUAUUUAUUUCGUGUUUCACUCCCCUUGUGACACCAGGGAGUGAAACACGAAAUAAAUACUCAUCCUUGGAUUCAGCAAUGUCAACUGAUCCAUAAGUGGCCUGGCAUUUCCCAACGAAGCCGAUCCAAUAAGGACAACCCCGCCAUUAGCAUGAUUUAUAAGAUGGUUCUGGCUGGGCAAGCAGAGAAAUGGUGCAUUGCAGGCUAAUAGUUUUCUUGUGAAAGGUGGAAGGAAACAAAGAGGGUUGGGAAAAUGGCAUAUAUUUCAUGAGAUAAAUUGCCUCAGUUUGAUGAAUAUUUUAAGAGAUCUGGGAGCAGAGGGAAGGUGGGAAAAAGUUCUAUUUUUGUUUUGUAUAUGAGUAGAUUCAUAGUUGCACAAGAUUUGAAUAAAUUAAUUUUCUAUGUAAAUUUGAAGUAAUAUAUUUCGUUUAAAUAUAUUUUCAUAUUUAGAAAUUACAUAAAAGUUUUAUAAAUUGUUAUAAUUAAUAAUUCAAAAGUAUUCUAAAACAAUAAUGUGAAAAGACAUCAUCACUUGAUUCUCCAAAUAAUAUCUUGAUCAUAUAAAGUUAAAGAAAGGGAUAAUAGUUAUUAUACACUUGUAAUAGCUUUCGAAGUUUUAGUGUUAUUUGAUAGUUAUAGAAAUUAGUUUUACAAUGGCUAAUAAUGAUAAUUGUCGUAUCAUUAUCAUAGACCAGGCAGAAACUUUAUAAAUAUAAUACUAAAAACUUGAUGGGCUUAAACGAAAUGUUGCUCACCUUUUUAAAAUAGAUAUCAGACUAGACAAAAUAGCCAUCAAACAUUUUCCUAAAAUUUAGAAAUUGAAAAUACAUUAAUAUUUUGUUAUUAAUCCCACACCUUAUUUGAAUUGAAUAUACCUAAAAUUUAUUCCUUAGAAAAUACUAAAUGUUUUCCCAAUUUCGUUUGUAACAGUUUGAAUUGGUGGGAUCGUGUCAAACUUUAAUUAGUGUUCUAAAUAAACACACAACAUUACUUUACAUUUAACAUUUUAUCUCAUAAAGUUUUCUCAAGCUACGUCCAGUCGUAAAGCUGAUUGUCAUAGUUCCGUACAAUUAAUUGUCAAUGCAGAUGCCGUGUAAUAGAAAUGUGAGAUUACUGUAAUAAUGAUGAAGAUAUACUAAGUGUAAAUUCAUAAAUAGGGUCUAGAUUAAGUGAUCUUACCUCUAUCUUCUGAGAGGUAGAGAGACAGUUUCAAAAAGAUCCCGGGGAUAAUCGAGUGGAAAACAAAGAGACUAUUACAACAACAAACUUUGCUCCUAUGUCCCAAAAAAUAGAGAGGUUGUUUUUGAAAGACCCUCGAGUUCUGGUUGAAUGGAAAACAGAGAUUACAAGAACAACAAAAAACAACAACAACACGUCCAGUAUAAUUUCUUGGGUGGGAUUUGAAGAGACAAAAUGUAGAUAGAAUUUACUUCUAUUGCUCAAACAAUAGAGAGGUUAUUUUUCGAAGAUUCCUCGCGUACGUCGGUGUGUGGGGGGGGGGNNNNNNNNNNNGUUAACUUUUUGACUUGUAACUCAACUAUGUCUUUAUUCUAUCAAAUCCAUCAAACAAAUUUCCACAAUAAAAACUUAUUGAGCUUCAUUUUAAUGUCAUAAAAAGUUAUAAAAUUGAUUUCUUUUAAAAGUGAAAGAAAAAUUCACACACUAAAAUUUAAAGAACUGAAAAGGAGGCUCUAAUACAACGUAAAUUUUGCUGACUUAUCUCUCUAGUUGAGAGUUCUGUCAUUGAAUAGAAGGUCUUGUCCUUGUACAUCCCUAAAGACCGGCCAUGAGUACCCUAAUAUUUGUAUUCCCUAAUAUUUGUCAUUCUUAGAUCUUACAUUUUUAAGAAUUUCUCCUAUAUCUAAGUAUUGAAAGUUAUUUACACUAGUAUUUACAAAUAUUACAUAUUUAUAACUGAAAUCUCUCUAGAUUGCCGGACAAAUAUUAUCUGUCCAUUAACCUAACAUGUAUAAUAUUCAAUUUUCAAGUAUAAAAGAAAUUUAACCUUCAAUAAUUGAAUGGUGUAUGGGACUAUCCUUGAUACAUAAGCAAGGUAGUUCAGGGCAUUACCAAGAUCAGAGCACAAGAAAAAGUUCUUUUGCUCAUGCUAAGGGAAGGCAAUAUAUGGACAGAUUAUACGCCUAAGCUAACUUUUUAAUUUUGCACACGAUUAAAAAACUGUCAAAAACUUGAUCUAAAAAAACUGACUUCAAAAGAGGUGGAGAAAAAUCAAUCCCAUGUGGUUGGCGCUUAAACAAGUAUUAUAAGAUUUUUUAAACAAAAUCGACAUCUCAAGGUCAAAAACCCAAAAUAAAAAUUAAAUUAACCUCCUAAGAUCAAAUUCAUUUAAAAAAAAUUGCAACAGUCAAUCUCCGGAGAUUGAUUAUUUUUUUUAAUAUAAUUUUUUUUGCAAAUGACCUCAUGAGGUCAAUUUUUAAAUUUUUAAUUACUAUUUAUUUUUUUAUAAAAGUUAACUGCUGAUAGAAAUGUAUUCUACCAUAUUAAAGAUGGAAAUUUGAAUCACAAAUGGUGUAUCUUAUUAUUUUGCAAUUGAAAAUCAACCUCAUGAGAUCGACAUUGUUCAAAAUGAAAAAUAAAAAUCGACUUCCUGAAAUCAGUUUAUUUUUUUUAAAAAAAAAUUAUUUAGAUAAAAAUCUCACGAAGUUAAAAAAUACAGACUUCAUAUAACAAUAUCAUAUUAGCAAAGAUUGUCAAUAGUACAAAUUAGUUCUCAUUAAAGGCAAGUGAAAUACAUAUCUACAUAGCACAAAUUUAACUGUUCGAGAUGAAGCAACUUAGAAAUGUCAGUCUAGAUGCACAUGCGAGGGAUAUCUCAAAUUAAAUUUUAAAUCGCGAAGGAAGGAGAAAUUAAUACUACUCAACAAACAUUCUUGGCUAAAAUCUCUUACAAAAUCAGAGAAUAUGGAUGUUCCGUGAACAAGAUUACCUGGAAGUAGAGAAAGAUUUUCGAGUGCCCAAAUUAUCGAGAAUUUUCUGUCGGAGAGGAUCUAGAGUUCUCUAUUAAAAAAGAGUUCUUGAACCCGCAGUUUGACUCCCACAAACAGAUGAAUUUGAGAUUGACUGUGAAAUUGAGCGCUCUAGUAGUUAAAAUUUUCAAAUAUAAGAUUGACGGGUCAAACCGCAAAUUAUAAUAGGUCGUCACUUGAGACUUCUAUAAUAAUGCCAGUCUACAAGCCGCUUAAAAUGUAAAUAAAUCUUAAAUUGGAUUUUUUUUUUUAUUAUCUACUUUUAUACUGGAAAUUAAUUUGAUGAAAGAACUCGUUGCAUUACGGAAACUCCUUGAAAGAAUCCGAAUUGUAAGUUAACUAAUGUAAUGAUGGUGGAAAGUUUCAUAAUUAGUAAUAGCUAUGUUUAGUUCAAUCCAAUCUUCUUUUUAGAAUUAUACUAACUAUUGUACGUUGAGGAUUAAGACGCAUUCAUUCGAUCCUCUUAUAAAUACGUUGAAGAACCAUUUUCACUUUUUAACUUGAUUAAUGGUAAAGGGAUAGAUCAUUUAUUAAUAGUAUUAAUACAUUUUAAUAAAAUGUAAAGACCCAAGCUGAGGUCCUUACCACAGCGGGCAUCCCGACCCAUGAAGGCUCGGGAGACCCUUAACAUAUUAUCAUAAGCAUAAUUUACAACAAUGGAAAUGUGAAAGGUAAACUGAAACAUGAAAAUUUUUCAUAAUCAAAAUUAGUACAUCAAGACAUGAAUCUAUGAAAAUCCAAAUCUAGUGUAACAAAUUUAUGAAGCUUCUACUGAAACAGUAGUCUGUCUAAGCAGGGACAAAGCCUCCAAUCGGAGCAUGAAACUAAAAAUAAAUCAACAUGUAGAUAAAGCUCCUUACAAAGUAAGGGAGGCACACCAAUUCUGAAUGUAUAAAACAAAUCACUAUUAAGCUAGACUACGAGAUUGUAUCUCAGAACCUACAUUAUGAGACAAUGCAACUGUCAUGAGGACGGACAAUACUUGAAAUAUAUUGGCACAUAGAAAGGCCAAAAGAAAUAACUUUCAAAAUAUCAUAAUAGUCAAAACAUCAUAAAAAUCAUAACAUGGGGUCAUAUGACAUUAAAAUAGUCUGAAAACAUGUAAUUCAAUAAAAAACCGCUUUGUAAACAGCAUCAUGUUAGUCUUUAGUUCUGAGCUAGGCGGUAUACACGACAGGAUCAGAAAAAUCCCAAGGGUUAUGCAGAGUUUGACAUUAACUUGUCGUACAUUCCCCUAAUCCCAGUUUGAUGCCAGGAUUGGAUUGUCUGGCCUGGUAUAUAAUGGCAUAUAGCAAGUAUACAAUGAUCAUCCAUAUUUGAGGACAAGAUCAAUCCCGUAUUAGCAAAAAAUGGUUUUGAGCUAUUAGUUAUCUAAACGCGUGCCUUCUUGGUUAUCCACCUAAUUCUCUUUAAGCCCAUAUUUUAACCUCUUAAAAUAUGCGUACUUUCUUAAAACAUGAUCUAAUGUCUGAAAAAUUUGUAGUCUAGUCUGGUCUGAGUAUUUCAUGACAUUUGUCUAAUUUGAUAUCGUCAUACCAAGACUUUCAAGUUGUAUAAGCCACACCAUAUCGUGUCAUAUCAUAUCGUAGCCCUUUUUAUUCAAAAUCAUGUCAUUUGACCACUGCAAGGACUCAUAGGCCAAAAGAGAGUUCUCUUUUAAAACUGUUAUGAAAGCUUAAGUAAAAAUGUCUUUCUUUCAAAGCUUAACUCUUAAGGUGGUCAUAUCUUUCAUAAACACAUAGUAAAACUCUUCCAGUAAUCUUGGUGGUUUAGUUAAGCAUUCCCAUUCAUGAAAUUUGUUAAAGCUUUUAAGAGAAGGAUUACUCUUUUCAAUCAUAUUCAAUGCACAACCAUUGUAAAACAAAAACAACAUCAAAAGAAGGCUUUAACAAAAUGUUGUUCUCCUUUAGAAAAUAGAUUUCAGACUAGACAAAAUGGCCAUCAAACAUUUUCCUAAUUUUUAGAAAUUAAAAAUACAAAAUAUUUUCCCAAUUUUGAAUCAAACAUUGAAUAAACCUAAAAUUUAAUCCUUAUAAAAUACAAAAUAUUUUCCCAAUUUUGGUUGUAACAGUUUGAAUUGGUGGGAUCUUGUCAAACUUCAAUUAGCGUUCUAAAUAAACAGACAACAUUACUUUAGAUUUAGAAUUUUAUCUCAUAAAGUUUUCUCAUGUUACGUCCAGUUGUAAAGCUGCUUGUCAUAGUUCCGUACAAUUAAUUGUUAAUGCAAUUUAAUAGAAAAGAGAGAUUGCAGUAAUAAUGAAGAAGAUAUAGUCAGUGUAAAUUCAUAAAUAGGGUCUAGAUCAAGUGAUCUUACCUCUAUCUUCUGAGAGGUAGAGAGACGGUUUCGAAAAGAUCCUGGGGAUGAUCGCGUUGAAAAGAAAGAGACUACUACAACAACAAACUUUACUCCUAUGUCCCAAGAAAUAGAGAGGUUGUUUUUGAAAGACCCUCGAGUUGUGGUCGAAUUGAAAUGAGAGAUUACAACAACAAAAAACAACAACAAUAAAAACUAAAACGAUAUGUCUAGUAUAAUUUCUUGGGAGGGAUUCGAAGAGACAAAAUGUAGAUAGAAUUUAAUUCUAUCCCUCAAAAAAUUGAGAGGUUAUUUUGGUAGGUUCCUCGUGUACGUCAGGGGGGAAAAGAGAGAGAGACUAUAUGUUAACUUUUUGACUGGUAACUCAACUAUGUCUUUAUUCUAUCAAAACCAUCAAACUAAUUUCCAUAAUAAAACUUACUCAAUUUCUUUUAAAUGUCAUAAAAAGUUAUAAAAUUGAUUUCUUUUAUAUGUCAAAGAAAAAUUUAGACAUUAAAAGUUAAAGCAUUGAAAAGUCGGCGCUAAUACAAUGUUAAUUUUGUUGAUUUAUCUCUCAAGUUGAGAGUUCUGUCCUUAAAUAGAAUGACUUGUCCUCUUACAUCCCUAAAGACCUGCCAUUAUGUAGUGUAUGACUUGCUGGGACCAACGGUUCGGUUACCUUCGUUUGUUUUUUUAGAUCAAAUUCCCUAUCUAGAAGUCUUUACUGGUUUAAAUGGCCACUGAGUGAAAACUUCAACGAAACGAUCUCGGUUGUAAAUUCUGACUGCGCAGACAGUUCUUAAAUAUUGAUUUUAGUCUAAUUCGACCUUUGAUUCGAUUUCCAACACACGCGAGCUCAUUUCGACCUAAUAGUCGGAAAGUUGUAAAAUCGAAAUUAUAUGUGUGGGACCUACUUUUUGCAUAAACGACCUUGUAUGGAAAUUUCAAUGAUGCAAAUGAAUUUGAAUUGUUUUACACCCAAAUUUUACCAUUGGAUCAUAUAUUUUUUGUUCCGGAUGAGUUUUGAGGGUCAAAAACAAGUUUUUGACCUUGCUGUCAUAAGGUACCGCAUCUCUUCUCCGAGGUUGUCUAUAAAUAGACCCCACGGUCGCAAAUUUGUGUCUUGUGGGUGUUUAGGGAGUUUGGUAAACAUCUUUGAUCAUGAUUAUCAUCCUGAUUAAGGUAAGAUUUCAUUACUGUAUUGGUGAAUUUCUUAGUUCUUGAUUCAAAAUCUCAAUUUUUAGCUUAGGUCUUGAUUUAACCCUAAAUUUGAUUUGUUUUCACCCAUUAAUUGAGGGUUAUGAUUCCUUGGUUAUGUAUGAGCAUUGGGUUAACAUCAAAAAUGUGAUUUUCGUACGGGGGACCCACUUGGGAUUUUUGGUGUUGUUUUUGGAUCCGAAGCACAAUAGUUCAAUAUGGGUAUCAUUAAACUCUUAUUGAUCAUUAGAUUAUAUUUUUUGAUAGUGUGAUGACAUUUUGGGGUUUGUGAAGUGAAGACGAGCAUGUGGUGCUUGAAGUGUGAUUUUGCUGUCAAGGCCUUGUCCACUUUCCUUUAUAGAUGAUGUAUGACAUGUAUUACAUGUGGAUAUGAAUAUUAGGAUUGAUUAUGAGUAACAUAGCUUACCCUUGAUUAUUGAUGUUUUUUGAAAUUAGAUGAUGAUUUUGGACCCGUAAGAUUGUAUGUUUAUAACCUGCUGGAGUCCUAUUGCCUUCUCCCUAGUUUAGAUAGCAUUAUAGCAUGGAUUUGAUAUAUUUCUAGAUUAUGUAUGUGGUUUUAGUAUUGGAAGCAUGAUUAUUUUAUUGAUCUUAUUGGUCCAGUGUGACAUUCUUGAAACCAUAAUUUGGAUAGAACUGACUUAAGUGCCCUUUUUUCUAGUUGAAGUUCCUAUCUUAGGCUUGUAUGUGGCUUACUUGAUAUCUAGAAGUUGAACUAGAUAUCUUAUCCUCAUUUGGGGCAUAGUGUACCUAAUUAAAGAAAUUAAGGUUUAGAAGUUGGAUUGUCCGGCCCACUUAGGCCUAGACUUUUGUUAGUCAUUGUGUAAUUAGUUGCAAAUGUUAAACAUAGUUGAGACUAGUAAACCUUAGUAUAAUAUUACUUUGCGAUUAGGUAUAUUGUAAUGAUGUUUCUAGGAUUGUGACUUAUGAGUUAUAGCUAUGUUGUUUGUUAUAGAAAUGAUGUGAUAAAAUGGACCCAUAAAGAUAUUAUUUCCUCCAACACUUGUUACUUGGACCAUAGAUAUGCCAUUUCCUCUUAGACUUGAUAGUUGAACCAUAUAGAUGUUGUUUCCUCUUGGACAUGAAGUUGGGUCCUUAGAGAUAAUUUUCCUCUUAGAUCUGAUGUUGGGCCUAUAGAGAUGCUACUUCUAUUUAGAUAUUAUAGUUGGCCUAGAGAGGUGAUAUUCCUCACUAUCAUGAUGAAUGACCUUUAUAUAUUAAAUGACUUAUAGUUACAUCAUGCUUAUUGAUAUUAUGCCUCCUAUGUGAGAGAUGAUUAUAUGCUUAUUGAUAUUAUACCUCAUAUAUUCGCGAUGCCCCAUAGAUGUGAGAUGAUUAGAUAUAUGCUAUGACAUGUAACUAUGAUUAUACAGAUGUGUUCCAGAUAUGUAUAUGGGCCGAAGGACAUGAUGAUGAUAUUUUGAUUAUUUUGGAUAUAUUAUUGGGCCGAGGGUCUAUAGCUGAUAUUGAUUGGACAUACGGGAAGUGUUUAUCCUUGUUGAGGAUGCGGCUCCAGUUCAUGAAUAUAUGUAUAUAUAUAUGUGUAUACACAUCUCUCUAGUAUGGGAUGAAGAAUGGUGUGGUAUGAUUCUUAUGAUUUCACUGAUUGAAUACUGGUGAUGGAAUGCAUGAUUAGAUACAUUCAUGAUUAUUAUAUCGAUUAUUGAUGUGACUCUAGCUGAAUGUGAUCUUAUGACUGUUCUUCCCAAUUAUGGUAUAAGCUACGUGGUAACUAGUUGUCUAUUAGGUGACGAUAGUACUUAAUGCUUAGAAUUCUAAAUACGUUAGUUAAUGAGCCUUACUUAGUAAUAUAGCAACUAACGACUAGAGUUGAUACAUGGCUAUGAAAUUGGGUUUAUCAAUGGUAGUGAUAUUUGGUUAUUGAUAACAAGUUGUAAUGUCGAUUAGUUGUUAAAUUAGGAUAAUGUGGUCAACAUUGAUAGGUCUUAAGGAAUGCUAGUGAUAAUGAUUCCUAGUUAAUAUUAAUGCCUCAUUACUGAUGCUAACUAGCUAAUAAUGAGGCCUAUGGUGAACAGUAUUAGAUAUUGAUUUGUGUUUGUUAAUAAAAGAUGCUUAGUUGAUAAAUGAUGAAUAGUGAAUAGAUGGAAAUUAUGGAUUAAUGGUGAACUUUGACUAGACAUUAGGCUUGGCUAGUUAUUGAUUAAUGGUUAGUUGCUAUUCCAUGAUUAAUGAUUAUGUGAAGAAUCGGCUAGAUUGAUAACUAAAGAUAAUUUUAUGACUAGUAUACUAACGGUAUAAUAAUGAGACCUGAGCAAUUAAUAAUGAGUAGAUAGAAUAUAAUGAUAAGGUAUUUAUCUUUACGAUAUUAUGAUUAUGGUUAUGAGUAUAUCGAUUUGCGUCUGUACACCUAUUGUAUGCCUAUAUGUAUAUGUUGAUAGUUACGUUGAUAUAUUGAUACUUGGCUAGGCUGGAGGAUAUUGUGAUGACAUAUUGAUACCCGACAAGAUUGGAGGAUAUUAUGAUGAUAUUGAUACCCAGUUCAAGUUCGGAGAAUACUAUUGAGAUGAUAUUAAUACACGGCAAGACCGGAGGAUAUUAUGAUGAUAUUGAUAUCCGGUUUGAGUACGGAGAAUACUAUUGAGAUGAUAUUAAUACCCGACAAGGUCGGAGGAUAUUAUGGUGAUAUUGAUACCCAGUUCGAGAUUGGAGAAUAAUAUUGAGAUGAUAUUGAUACCCAAUUCGAGACUGGAGAAUAAUAUUGAGAUGAUAUUGAUGCCCGACAAGGCCAGAGAAUAUUAUGAUGGUAUUGAUAUGAGGUUCGAGUUUGAAGAAUACUAUUGAGAUCAUAUUGAUACCCAACAAGGUCGUAGGAUAUUGUGAUGAUAUUAAUACUCGAUUCAUGUUCGGAGGAUACUAUUAAGAUGAUAUUGAUUUCCGGCAAGGCCGCAGGUUGAUUACGAUGAUGAUGGUCCUGAUGAGGACAGUUAUUAUGAGUUGUGAUAUUGUUGGUAUACUUUGCAUUCAUUCCUGCAUGCGCGUCGCCUAUCACCAGUAUGCACCUAUAUUUAUUAGCCUGUAUGGGAUGGUUGCAUAGAUACAGGUGAAGGAUAUGUCUUGUAUUGUUGUAUCUUGAUUGAACCUUCCGAGCCUGGGGUGGUGGGGGUACACAUAGGCUCGUCUAGGUAUUUGUUUUUCUGGAGUAUUCGAUUCUUAAUGCCGUUAUUGAUAUUGUUAUUAUCAUUGUUAUGAUCAUUAUUAUGGCUAGCUAUGACAGAUUGGUCAUUGAUCCGGUAUCGGAAUUUGAGGUAUGUUUUUCGCCUCUCCUAUCUUAUCAUUGUGUUAUUAUGCAUAAGUAUUUCAUGUCUAGCCAUGUGGAUUAGAAUCCCCGAGUAUGAUAGUAUUUAACUCAUGAUAGUAUUUUAAUGAGGUCUUAAAAUGAGAACAUGAUGAUCUAGGUUAUGUUUGAAAAAAUCUUCUGUUAAUAUUUUUAUAUAUAUAUAUAUAUAUAAACAACGAAGAAAGGGAUAUAUGAAGCCAUGGUACUAUCAGAUAUCCCUUCCUUCGUUGUUUAUAUUGUAUAGUCGUUCGUUCGCCUUGUAUAUUACAAAAAAGUAAUAUAUCUUUCUUUCAUUCUUUAUUUUUAUAUUGACCAGGGAUAUACAGUAUAGUAUUGAAACAUAUUGAAUGUAGCUGGAAUAGGAUAGUUCACCUUGAUACUUCCUUAGUCUUAUGAAGUUAGACUCUUGGACAUGAAUAGGAUAGUUGUCCCUUGUUAUUCUCAUUGACUUAUUACAUGAUUUACGGACUCUUGGUUGUAGUUUCAAUUUUAUUUAUAUGUUGUAUAUAUCUACUUUAUCUUUGGAGCUAUGUUGGCAGUUGCCUACUAAGUACCAUUCAUUUGGUACUCAUACUACACCUCUGCAGCCUGCAGAUCAUAAUACGGGUUAUCGCUAUUGAUAUGUGCAUCAUGCAGAGUAGCCCUAAUUCAGAGACAUAGAGUGAGCUCCUGACGUUCUGAGUAUUACUUAUCUCUCUCCUAUGUAUUAGAUUAGCCUCUAAGUUGUAUUCAGAGAUAUGUUGAAUCAUGUAUUUUUCCUUGAUAUAUCACUUUUGAUCUCUUAUUAUGUUUAGAAGCUCUUGUACUGAUACCAUUAGGUUUCAGGAUUCUUUUGCGUAUUGAUCUUUAUUUCAUAUAUUCUACAUUCUUUUUCUUAUAUUAUUGAGUAAUCUGUUACUAGCUGUUCCGGACAACUGGUUGGUUUGCCUACUUGUGGGUUAUGGUAGGUGCCAUAAUGAUCUGAUAAAUCAAGUCGUGACACAUGAAUACCCUAACCUGCCAUGAAUACCCAGAUAUCUCUAUCCCCUAAUAUUUGUCAUUCUUAGCUCUUACAUUUUUAAGAAUUUCUCAUAUAUCUAAGUAUUAAAAGUUAUUUACACUAGUAUUCACAAAGAUUACAUAUUCAUAACUGAAAUCUGUCCAGAUAGCUCGAAAAAUAUUAUUUGUCCAUUAAGCUAACAUGUACAAUAUUCAAUUUUCAAGUAUAAAAGAAAUUUGACCUUCAAUAAUUGAAUGGUGUAUGGGACUAUCCUUGAUGCAUAAGCAAGGUAGUUCAGGAUAUUACCAAGAUCAGAGCAGAAGAAAAAGUAAUUUUGACUCAUGCUAAGGGAAGGCAAUAUAUUCACAGAUUAUACCACUAAGCUAACAUUUUAAUUUUGCACACGAUUAAAAAACUGUCAAAAAAUUGAUCUAAGAAAACUGAUUUCAAAAGAGGUGGAGAAAAAUCAAUACCAUGAGGUUGACGCUUAAACAAAUAUCUUAUAAUUUUAUAAACAAAAUCGACAUCUCAAGAUCAAUUUUUAAAGCGUGAAAAACCCGAAAAAAAAGAAGAGAAAACUAACCUCCUAAGAUCAAAUUUAUUUAAAAAAAAAUUGCAACAGUCAACCAAGGAGAUUGAUUCUUUUUAAUAUAAUUUUUUUUUUUUGCACAUGCCCUCCGGAGGUUAAUUUUUAAAUUUUUAAUUACUAUUUUUUUUUUUGAUAAAAUUUAACAGGCGAUAGAAAUGUGUUCUACCAUAAUAAAGAUGGAAAUUUGAAUCACAAAUGGUGCAUCCUAGGAAAUUUGAAUCACAAAUGGUGCAUCCUAUUAUUUUGCACCUGAAAAUCGAUCUCAUGAGAUCGAUAUUGUUCAAAAUGAGAAAUAAAAAUUGACUUCCUGAAAUCAGUUAACUAAAGUAAUGAUGGAGGAAAGUUACAUAAGUAGUAAUAGCUAUGUUUAUUUCAAUCCAAUCUUCUUUUUAGAAUUAUACUAAUUGUUGUACGUUGUGGAUUAAGACUCGUUCAUUCGAUCUGCUUAUAAAUACAUUGAAGAAUCAUUUUCACUUUUUGACUUGAUUAGUGGUAAAGUGGUAGAUCAUUUAUUAAUAAUAUUAAUACUAGUUUUAACACAAUGUAACGACCCAAGCUGAGGCCCUGACCACCACGGGCAUCCCGAACAAUGAAGGCUUGGAGACCCUUAGCAUAUUAUCAUUAGCAUAAUUCAUAUCAAUGGAAAUGUCGAAGGUAAACUUAAACAUGAAUCGUUUGCAUAAUCAAAAUUAGUAUAUCAAGACAUGAACCUAUGAAAAUCCAGAUCUAGUCUAACCAGUUUAUGAAGCUUCUAUUGAAACAAUAGUCUUUCUAAACAGGGACAAAGCCCCCAAUAGGAUCACGAAACUAAAAAGAAAUAAACAUACGGAUAAAGCACCUCCACCAACUCUGAAUGCUUAAAGGAAAUCUACUAUGGGACUUUGUCUCAGAACAUACAUUAUGAGACAAUACAGCAGCCGCGAGGACGAUCAAUACUGGAAAUGUUUUGGCACAUAGAAAGGCCAAAAGAAAUAACUUUCAAAAUAUCAUAAUAGUCAAAACAUCAUAAUAAUCAUAACAUGGGGUCAUAUGACAUCAAAAUAGUUUGAAAACAUGUAAUUAAAUAAAAAAAAUCUUUGUAAACAACAUCAUGUUAUUCUUUUGUUCUGAGCUAGGCCGCAUACCCAACAUGAUCUAAAAAAUCCCAAGGGUUAUGCAAAGUUUGACAUUAACUUGUUGUCCAUUCCCCUAAUCCGAGUUUUCCGUGAGGAUUGGAUUGUUUGGUAUCGUAUACAACUGCAUAUAGCAAGUAUACAAUGAUCAUCCAUAUUUCAGGACAAGAUCAAUCUCGUAUUAGCAAAAAAUCAUUUUGAGCUAUGAGUUAUCUAAAGUCGUGUCUUCUUGGUUAUCCACCUAAUUCUCUUUAAGCCCAUAUUUUAACCUCUUCAAAUAUGCAUACUUUCUUAAAACAUGGUCUAAAUUCUGAAAAGUUUGUAGUCUAGUCUGGUCUGAAUUUGUCAUGACAUUUGUUUUAUUUGAUAUCGUCAUACCAAGACUUUCGAGCCGUAUAAGCCAUAUCAUAUCGUGUCAUAUCAUUUCAUAGCCCUUUUUAUUCAAAAUCAUGUCAUUUGACCACUGCAAGGACUCAAAGGUCAUAAGCGAGUUCUCUUUUAAAACUGUUACGAAAGCUUAUGUAAAAAUGUCUUUCUUUCAAAGCUUAACUUUUAAGGUGGUCAUCUCUUUCAUAAACAUAUCAUCAAACUCUUCAAGUGAUCAUGGUUGUUUAGUUAAGCAUUCUCGUUCAUGAAAUUUGUUAAAGCUUUUAAGAGAGGGAUUACUCUUUUCAAUCAUAUUCAAUAAACCACCAUUGAAAAACAAGAAUAACAUCAAAACAAAUGAUAAUUAUAAAAACCUUCCUCAAGCAAAAUUCAGAAAGAAAAUCAUUCACAGCCUUAUCAUUUUCACAAAUCACAAUUCAAUAUGCGCACAUACAUAUGUAUGAACCCAUUAGAAUGCACAAUUGAGUAUGGAUGCAAAUCUUGAAAUUCAUGCUCUCGUUGUGAAUGAAAAUCUAAAUUCUGCAACACUGAAAAGAGCUAAAAAAAAAUUAUGAAUUCUAACCACAUAAGAUUUAGGUCGUUGUAUGUACCUCUAAUGGAGAGAAAUUAAAUCAAAGUUUACGCUUGGAUCUUGGAAUCCUCAAACCAUAGGAAGUUUUCUCCUCUCUUUCUCUUAGAAUGAUGAUCAGGUAUUCACUAAAGGGUGAAAGCAUUUUUAAGGAUCUAAAAUUUUAUAUAUGUGAUUUGGAAUGACUUAGAAGUGUGAAAAGACCAGCGUGCCAUUAAAAUAUUACAAAAACAAAUUAAUUUUGACAUACUGAACAGGGUCGCGCCAUCACAAACUUCAGGAUUCAUGGGGCAAACCUCAUCACGAACAUCAGGUUUCAUGGGGAGAACUCUAUCACAAACGUCACGGUUCGUUGGGCAAACCCUUAAGCAAACUUGAAGCUGUAGCUCUAUAACACCCCAAAAUAUGAUCCCCGAGAUGUCACACGGUGCUAGAUAUAGAUGGUGAUGCUCGAACUACUCACGCUGCUGAUGGUGAGCACCUGAACCUACAUUAUGAGACAAUACAACACAUAGACGUAUAGGUGGAUCAUUACAUUGAGGAUGUACUGAGUAUAUGAGGGUGAUAUGAAUAAGUAAAACAUCAUAUUAUAAUCAUAAUUUAUAAAACAAUCCAUGCUAAAUGUAAAUGACUCACGAAUAUCUGAAAUAUUGAAAUAUGUAAUCAUGGAUAGCAAAUCAUACUUUAUAAAUUUAGUGAGCCAUAACAUUUAGUUCUAAAAACUAUACUUAUAUUUUCUCUUUAAAUCAUAGUGUCGAAGUGUAGAAAGGACUCACUCUUAAGUCAGAAAACUGUAAGAUGAAAUUUCUAACUAUAAUCUUUCGGUAAAGUAUAAUCUGAAAUAAAGUUGUGAGCCUUUACAUUUAGUUUCUAAAAGCUUUUCUAUAAAUCUUUUCUGUAAGAGAAAAUACUUUAUCUUUUAUUUGAAAGCUUAUAUGUAAGGGAGGUUCUUUUAACCGACAUAAACCAUGCGAGCUACAUGGAGUCCAACGUCGCAUCCUCCUAAGGAAGAAACCUCACAUUGGGGAGAGGUGUCAUACUCUUGCCAGGGAGUAUAACCUCAUCUAUGUGAUUACAUAUCUGCCCACUAUGGGCUCUUAAUCUCAAAUCUAUGGUGGCACGUAGUUUUGGGGUAUGAGACCUUGGAAUAAUACCCAACUCUGUGCUACAUACUACUCCCUUUAAUUUGAUACACUCAUCUAAUGGAAAUUCAUCGUGUCAGAGCUCAUAACUCAGAUUAGGUGGUAUCCCUUCUAUCUAUAUGAUAUGUUUCCUUGCCUGGUGCACUAAAUUUUUCUAUAAAAUACAAGUUUCUAUAUAAGAUUGUUGCUUCAUCAAACUUCUAUAUGCAACUAGCAUAGCGUGAAUCUCAUCUAGCCUAUAAUCGAAUCGAACUCAGUUCUCUUAAUAAGAUAUUUUUGGUUAGCCUCUCAAAGAGCUUCGUCUAUUACUUAUAUAUAUAUCACAUGAAGCCUCCCUACUUUAUUCCGGAUACCCGCGGAUUUCUCAAUACAAAUACCAAGAUAGACGCGAGAAAGCUAGUCGUCCUCAUCUUUCUUUUACGCUUUCUUCUCUUAUGAGAUUUAGAGGUUCUGGCAGCGGUGUGAAACUAUAUGAGAAUGAGGACUGAAUGAAAUGCCAUAACUUCAGUUCUAACUCCUUCCUCUCCUUCAGUAGUGAACUCAGGAAAAGACCUAUCAAUCUAUUUGAUUUCCCAUCAAGCCAAGCAAGGUUCACUCACUGAACGUUGUACUUCCUAUAUCUAUGAUAGUAGAGUUAGCCUGUCUUUGCCGACAGGUGAUUUGGCAAGCGAUGAGGCCCAUCUUAAAGGGGUGGGUCACUCUCCUUUCUUUAAAGGUGUCCCUGCUUCACUCUAAGGAUGACAUAUGAUUAACUAGCACAGGAGAGAGAGUUAGACUUGACUUUGUCAUUUCCUCGCUUAAUCUCAUAUUAGUCAGUCUACUUGCCCAAAGCUACUACCUCAGAAAAAGUGAACCGAGGGAAAGCUAUCAUAACAGACUAGUUCUCUUAUUCACUGGGGGAGUCUAGGGAAUUUAGAAUAUGUAUUCAGAAGAGGUUGAAUGGCCGAAAUAAGAGGUCGAUAGCCUUCUUUCUAUUUGAAUUUGAACCCAAAGUAUGAUUCGAACCUACCUUUAUUCAUAUAAACUAAUUGCUCUACCAACUAGCCUUCUGGGUGGGCUUAAGACACUGAUAUGCUAGAUCUAUAUACAACCUUCUUGUAUCAUGGGUUUGAAUCCCAUACAAGCUAUAUAACCAUGUAGCGUUGGGCUUAACCGAGACUAGAUUGGAAGAAAUAUGGAGGUCUACGUUGAUGGCAUGCUUAUUAGAAUCAGAGAGGUUCUGGACAUAGUGGCAAACCUAAAAGAGACCUUGGACACCCUCAGGAAAAGGGGCAGACUGAAGUCAUUAAUAAGACUAUCCUACAAGGUCUCAAGACCAAACUUGUGAAAGUUAAAGGGUGCUUUGACCGGGGAUUCACACUCUCAAUAAUACCCAUACUACCACAGGAAAAACCGCUAUAGAAGCUAACCUAUUGUAAUAUCUUAAACCAAUUUUGAAAGGGAGGGAGAGUUUUUUUAUAUCAAGGCGCUCGAAAGCUAAAAGCUUUUCAUCAGAAGACAGAAAGGAAGUACCUAUUUUCUACUAUCUCAGUAGGUGAAGAGGUAUUAAAUACCAAUUUUAGCAGAAAGGAAGGCAUUUACAGUGGAGAGGACAGCAUAAAAGUAUAAAAGUUCUGACUUAGAUCAAAGAAGGUGUUAUGGGUCGGCCUUGGGAAGUCGAGAAAAACUUUCUUUACCAUUAAGAUUGAACUGCUCUAGGGCUUAUUCCAUCUUCAAUUCAUAGCAUGAAAGUGAAAGUCUCAAUCCCAGUUCCGUAUUAAGAAAGUAGACGGACAGAACUACUAGAGCUUGUUAGGAGCCCUUAGGAUUGGUCCUCAUCUAGUCGAGGAAAAAUCCCUCUAAAGCUUUUAUAGGGGACAUCUUUUCUAAUAUGCCUUCCCUGGACAAGGAUUUUAUUUAUGAUUUUCUUUACCUUGCCUCCUUUUCCCCAUAAGCCUUAUCUGCACGUGAAUAAGAGUAAUCAUUUACCGAAUCUACAUCAGCCGAAGCCUUUGCUUUCUCUCUUCCCUCUUUCUUUGCUAACCUCUAUUCCAUUGAAUGCUAUUAAGUCUGGAAUUGAGCCAAACUAUUUUUGUUAUAGCUUUCUUCCAAUAGAAGAUUCAUUCGCAAGAACCGAUGUCGUACAUCUUCAGUGUAAUGAUCCAUAAUCUAACUAACUAUUUUAAUUAACUUAACUGUAUUCUUUUCUUUCAAAUCAAGCUCCAUAUUCUACUUUUAUUUUUUCAGUCCUUCUAAAAGAAAGAUAGCAAGAGGCUAAGUUAUUCACUUGCGCCUGGGCUUUGUUUUUUGAGUAAAGGUUCUAUGGUGAAGAUCCUGGUCAAGGAUACCCUAUUAAAGAGAACAUUCGGGGACCUAUGGUUAUCUCUUCCUUAGUUUCCAAAUCUAAUGGAGGUUUAAAUUCAAUGGAUCCACCGUAAUUUGUAUGUCAAAUGAGGCCUCGAUGGAGAGAUAGAUGGGAACUCCUACUCUGACUAGAGUUUUGAUUUCUAAGAGGGAUUUUCAGUCAUCUAUCCCUUUUGUUUCCCUAGCGAGUGAAGAAGGAGUGGAUGUUUUGAAUGAGUGUUGAGCGAGUGAAGUGCCCUAUAAAGAAGGGCGAGUUGUAUGUAUAAAUUCGAUGAGCAAUGAUUUCACAUCAGGUUCCAAGUGCAUCCAGCAGGAACUGAACCUACGAAUUCGCCAUAUCAAACUCGAUAAACUUGAAUCUUGAGAUAGAGAAAUACAAUUAAUGGAUGGAUUCCUUCAUUAAUCAUAAUGAAACCAUCCAGCAACUGGUAGUAACAAAACCACCUUGUUGUGGAGAUGGCCGACGAUUGGGCCUCAAAAUAUUUUAUUUGGAAGGAAUGCUUUCACAAGCGGUAGAAAGAGACGAUGUUCGAUAUUUACCUAUAUAGAUAACCAGUCAACCUCGAUACACUUAACAUAACAGAGUCCUUUUUUAUGCUUGUUUUUUUUGCAUACAGACUAGAUGAAACGAAACUAAAAUCCCCAUAGAUGCUUGAACAAAAAGAUAACCUAAGGCCAUAGCUGACGUUCUUGUUAUUGGACACGUGAGAUAUCCCAGCAUUAGAGCAUUGAUUUUUCCUUUCUUUCUUCUGUGCGAAGGCGAAACAAUAAGAAAAAAAACGUUCAUUUCAAAACUAUCAGGUGAGAAGAACAGAGAAAAGAAAGAGUUUUCAUGAAAGCUACGGGAAAGUCAAAUAAUUUCUUUUUUAUCAAUGAGAUAAAUAUGAAAAAGGAAUAAUUCUAUCUAAAGAGAUGAGAUCCUUGCUCCUGACUAAUGGAAGCAAGGGGCCGAGUUAUUCUCUAAAACUAUAAUAUAAAACAAGUAAACCUGGAAUCUUCAAAGAGAACUUUAAAGAAAUGUCAUAUAGGGAAAGUCCAGCUUCAAAUCCGACUUCUAACUCCCUCAUCUUAGAGUUCUCGUUAGAGCAAAAGUAAGGCACUAAGCGAAGAGCUCAAGGCCAGUAAAAUCAGUCUAAGAGGCUAAGGAAGAGUUGGGGUAAUGUUUUGUGUGCCAAUUGAACUCACACUUAGAGAAUUUGGCAUACACCACAUGAUCCUUAACGGUCUAAAGCACGAUUCGUAGGUGAUUAGUAUGAUCUUCCUCACUCUGAGAGUAAACUAAAAUAUCUAUGACGAAAUCAAUAACAAAUAGAUCCAAAAACUGAUGGAACACCCUAUUCUGAGGUCCAUAAAUGUACAAAGGCAUUAGUCAGACUGAAGGAGAAAUGACCAUUAAUUCAUAGUGACUUUAUCGGGUUUGAAAAUUUUUUUUGGGAAUGUUAGCCUCCAUUACCUUAAACUAAUGAUAACCCAAAUAGAGGUCUAUCAUAGAGAAAUAUGUAGCACCCUAAAGCUGGCCAAAAAGAUCAUCAAAUUCUGGGAAGAUGGUACUUAUUAUUGACAAUGGCUUUAUUAAAUAGACAGUAAUCUAUACACAUACAGAGGGAGCAACAUUUCUUACGCAUGAAGAGAAUAGGAGCACCCUAGGGCGAGACAUGAGGAUGAAUGAAGACCUUAUCAAGAAGAUAUUUUAACUGCUCAUGCAAUUCUUUCAAUUUCAUAGGGGUCAUUUUAUAUAAUGGAAUAGAAAUAGGCUGAGUGUUUGGCAACAAGUCAAUACCAAAAUCUAUUCCCUAUCUGGGGUAUCCCAAGGAGGACUUCAAGGAAUUUAAUAACUACUGAGACCGACUGGGGAGAAUGACUUUCAUUGCUAGAAUCAUUAACCUGAAUGGGGAAGGGGUUUGGAAGAAAGGGGAAGCUCAGUCCUUGAUAUGUUGCCCCAUAUUUGGUUUUGAGGAGGGUCGGUAACAUUGUGUAUGAGUUGGAAUUUCCCUCUAGUGUGGGUUCUAUACACCCGGUGUUCCAUGUGUCGAUAUUAAGGAAGUUCGUGGGUGAUCAUUCAUUGGUUAUUACCAUAUAGAGCAUUGGUAUUUCAAACUCCUUGUCUUAUGAGGAAGACCCGGUGAUGAUCUUGGAUCGAUAAAUUCAUCAGUUAUGAAAGAAAGACGUGGCUUCAAUAAAGGGUCUCUGGCAGAACAAAAAGUUCAAGAAAAGUACUUGGAAAAAUGAGGAGGACAUGAAGUCCAAGUGUUCGUUCCUAUUACCUAUUUUAGAAAAUUGUGCUUAAGAUAUAUGUGUUUUUAACAUCUUUGUUUUCUGGCUUUGUUAAAGGAAAACUUGCAGUUUUGUUGACUUUUUUGUUUUUAGACAUUUUAAAAGGGAAGUGUGAUUGUAUUUCUAAAUUAAAUCAUGCUAAUGAAUGCCUUGUCCCAUCAUUCGAGGACGAAUGAUCCUAAGGGGGAAGACUAAAACACCCCAAAAUUUUAGCCCUUGAAAAUUCCAAGUUUUUGACCUCACUGCCCAGACUACGACUCCUAUUAUGAUUUUUAGGGUUUCUUUACGGGUCUUAAGGACCCAAUCAUUACCAAAGUAGUGGGUGUGUCUAGGUCUUCUUUUCUGAGAAUGAAUGGCUCCCAACGAGUCGUAUGGACUCAUUAUGAGUCAUUAUGUGUCCUCCGUAGUGUGACCAAUGUGAUGCCCAAUUGUUAUUAUUCUGACUACGACUGGUGGUCAUGAGUUGUAAAGACUCAAUACGAGUCAAUUGGUCCCAAUCAUAGCCAAGUUAGUGUGUGCCUCAUGUGUUUCUUUCCUAACUAUGACUUGGACCCUAUGAAUCGCAUGGUUCCGUAACGAGUCAUAUGAUGUAAUUCGUAGAGUCACCCGUAGGUAGGCCAUAUGACACUGUCUCGAUUAUGACUCGUAGUGACGAUUCAUAAUGAUUUGUAGUCCUAGGCGACCAAAUUUUAAGUCAUAUCAUUAAGGGCAUUCUGGGUGGUACUCCUCCUUCCCUACUUAGUACCCAAGACCAUAAAGUACUAAAGGGGUUUAUUUCUCAUUUACAACUCAGCCAAAACAUUCUCAAAUCACUAAAUAUUCUCUCAAGAAACUUAGGAUUUCCAAGAGGUUGGUCAUCUAAGGGAUCCCUUACGCUUAAUGUCUUUAUUUAAUUAAAAUACAUGUUUGUUUAUGUGAUUGAAAUUAAGGGUUUUGACGUGGUUGAUGGAUUUUGACAUGAUUGGUCUCUAAUUUGAUUUCCCAUGGUUAUUUAUGCACUAUUCAUUCUUGUUGAUGGUUUUGAAACUUGUAGGGUGCAUGGGUUUGAUAAAUAAAAGGGUCAUGUUUUCCCCAAGUUUAAUGGUUUUGCCUUGACUUGUGGCUUUAGAAAUUGUGUGUUCUCUACCAAAUUGUGAAAUUGAUCAUGAUAAUGGCCUUGUCACAUGAUUUGACUUGUCUACUUGAAUGAAUGAAUUGGUAUAAAAGGUUAAUGAAGUAUAAAUGGCUCAAUAAAGGCCUUGGUUGCCAUGAAUUUAUUUGAAUUGGAGCCUUGGGGAUUGGUUGGAUAAAUGGGUUUGAGUCCCAAAUGUUUGACUAAUUUGAUGUCGCUUUUGGACAAUGGGUUCAAAUCGUAGUUGAUGAAAUAAUUGUCAUGGAAUGUUAUAAACUUUCAAGUGGGUUGGUAUGAAUAUACCAACGUGAUACCUUAAUACUUAAUUGGGUUAAUAAUCGGGAAUGUGUAUUAAAUGUUUUAAAUUGGCCUUUAAAGAUGGUUGUAUUGCCAGGUCGUGAAGGAAAUAAUUUUAAGUUGGUACGUUACAUAGAUAAAACUUUUGUUGGUACACAUACACAUUUUUGCAUGAUCAAUUGAUGACAUAAAAAAUUCAUUAUUUGAUGAAGUUAAGGGAGUCGAGAAAAAAUUGCAAGAACUUCCGAUAUGGCAUGGUUCAAAGCUUCGUCUGGGUUCUUCCGCGAAAAGUUCAGGAUAACUUCCAAAAAAUCACUUUAAGAGGGAGUGUGAAAAUACCAAUGUAGAUUUUUGGAAUCAUAGAUUUCUACUAAAGUUUCUAGAACAGUCUAAUGUAGUAUUUAGGAUAAUCAACUUGAAGAAAUAUCUAGCUAUUCUAGAGCAAUGGUUGAAGAUAAAUAUCACUAGGUUUUUAUCUUAUAGAACUUUCUAGAUAGUCGAGAGUAAUUGAAGAUAAGGAUAACUAGAUUUUCUUAUAGAAGUAUCUAGAAAGAUAGCUAGAAUCUUCCAUAGGCAAGUAUAAAUAGGAGUCACAUUAUACAUUUGUAACCUUCCAAAAAACCAACCCAAAACAAUCCAAUUUAAGUAGUCUUCUUCUAUACUCAAGUUUCCUUUGAAUAUCUUCCUUCACCUUCAAAGAUUCCUCUUCUUAGUUGAAUCUUUCAAUCUUAGUUAACGAUCUUGGGUUAGAAGAACGUCUACCCAAUUACCCCUUUUUUCUGCAAUUCUCUAUAGGUUGCCUUUACUAGAUCUACUUUGUUGGGAAAGGCUGGGAUACUUCUUGGGUAAGUUGACAUAUUGCUUAAUCCAAAGAUGAUUAUUUAUUUCAUGUUUUACUCCCCUUGUGACACCAGGGAGCGAAACACGAAAUAAAUACUCAUCCUUGGAUUCAGCAAUGUCAACUGAUCCACAAGUGGCUUGACCUUUCCCAACGAAGCCGAUCCAAUAAGGACAACCCCUCCAUAAGCAUGAUUUAUAAGAUUUUUCCACUCCUUUCUGGCUGGACAAGCAGAGAAAUGAACCAUUGCAGUUCUUGUAAAAGGUGGAAGGAAACAAAAAGGGUUGGGAAAAUGGGAGAUAUUUUUUGAGAUAAAUUACCUCAGUUUGAUGAAUAUUUUAAGAGAUCUGGGAGCGAAAGGAGGGUGGUAAAAAGUUCUAUUUUAGUUUAAUAUGUGAGUAGAUUCAUAGUUGUACAAGAUUUGAAUAAAUUAAUUUUCUAUGUAA